AACAGCACUUUGGUAGCCACUACCUGUUCCUAUUUCCAGAAUGGAAUCUCCUUCUUUUACCUGUAGCAAUUCUGUUUG
rnacentral:ribozyme from 1 species